UUUCUAAGGAUGAUCCUUCAGAGAGCUUCGGCUCACUAUCGGAUCGUUUUAGAAACAUCAGUGGCCAACAGAUCGCCAGAUCGUUGAGCUGCAUUGGCGGGAUUUCGCCGUCUUCGUUUCUCUUUCUUCGCGGACGAACACGCGCUGGGCCUGCUUGAAGCAGGAUCCCACGGUCCCUGACGGGAUAGGCGUUAGGGGCUUGUAGCUCAGUUGGUUAGAGCGCGCGCUUGAUAAGCGUGAGGUCGGAAGUUCAAGUCUUCCCAGGCCCACCACUUUCAUCGAGUGAGCAUUCGUCUUCUGGUUACGGGGCCAUAGCUCAGCUGGGAGAGCGCGUGCUUUGCAAGCAUGAGGUCGUCGGUUCGAUCCCGUCUGGCUCCACCAGAUGGUUUGAUCAUCGACACUGUGCACCGUCGUCCGCGAAACAUCACUUCGCAUCCUGCUAGUCUGGAUAGACAGCAAGAUGCGUGUUUUCUGACAUCGUAAAGAGGAGAUCGAUCCGAGUUGGGUCGUGUAGCAGAUUGCUGCGCGAGCCUUCAUUAUCUCCGGAUCAUUUUCGGCGCUCGACGCUGACCGCAAGGUUGGCUCUCGAGUUGUAAAAUGAUCCUUUUAGCGAAGCUUGACCGCCUCGCUAUCGGAACGAUCUUACGAAGCAAGCUGGUCUUUCUAGUCAAUGUCCGGCUGUACGUAGCAUUCAUCGAGGGUGCGCGCCGAAGAGGUUUCGAUCUCUUGGCAAUCGUAGAGACAACAUUCUGCCGAGUGUGUGGACAUUGAUAAUGAGAGCAAUCAAGUGCCUUAAGGGUGUUCGGUGGAUGCCUUGGCGCUGAGAGGCGAUGAAGGACGUGCUACGCUGCGAUAAGCCGUGGGGAGCUGCGAAGAAGCUUUGAUCCGCGGAUU
rnacentral:misc_RNA from 2 species